rnacentral:lncRNA from 1 species
UUUGACUUCUUCUCACUGAGCUAGCCCUGCUGAUAUCCUCAAACAAAAAGUCUUCUGAACUUGCCCAAUAUCUUCUGGCAUUCCACAGCAGGUACCAAGAAAAACUCUAUCAGUGGAGGUAUAGCACUGCCACAGAUGAGUGACUGAAAGAAUUAUGUUGCUCGUCUAUCUUACAACACUUGCUGCACCAAACAGAGAAGCACUACAAAGACAUUUCAAC